UAGCCGUAAACGAUACUCGCUAGGUGUCGGCCACGGUGCGACCGUUGUCGGUGCCGUAGGGAAGCCGUGAAGCGAGCCACCUGGGAAGUACGGCCGCAAGGCUGAAACUUAAAGGAAUUGGCGGGGGAGCACCACAACGGGUGGAGCUUGCGGUUUAAUUGGAUUCAACGCCGGAAAUCUUACCGGGACCGACAGCAACAUGAAGGCCAGGCUGAAGACUUUGCCGGAUUAAGCUGAGAGGAGGUGCAUGGCGUAGUCGUGU
rnacentral:rRNA from 1 species